UGCAAGUCGGACGAUAAAGCACCUUCGGGUGUGGAAUAGUGGUGAACGGGUGAGGGACACGUGAGAAAUCUGCCUUCAACUCUGGGAUAACUCCGGGAAACCGGGGCUAAUACCGGAUAUGAGCCUUGACCGCAUGGUCGGGGCUGGAAAGUUUUUCGGUUGAAGAUGAUCUCGCGGCCUAUCAGCUUGUUGGUGAGGCAACGGCUCACCAAGGCUACGACGGGUAUCCGGCCUGAGAGGGGGACCGGACACACUGGGACUGAGACACGGCCCAGACUCCUUCGGGAGGCAGCAGUGGGGAAUAU
rnacentral:rRNA from 1 species